rnacentral:rRNA from 1 species
UCCAGACUCCUAAGGGAGGCAGCAGUGGGGGAUAUUGCACAAUGGGGGAAACCCUGAUGCAGCGACGCCGCGUGAGUGAAGAAGUAUUUCGGUAUGUAAAGCUCUAUCAGCAGGGAAGAAAAAAGACGGUACCUGACUAAGAAGCCCCGGCUAACUACGUGCCAGCAGCCGCGGUAAUACGUAGGGGGCAAGCGUUAUCCGGAUUUACUGGGUGUAAAGGGAGCGUAGACGGCAAUACAAGUCGGAAGUGAAAUACCCGGGCUUAACCUGGGAACUGCUUUGGAAACUGUAUGGCUGGAGUGCUGGAGAGGUAAGCGGAAUUCCUAGUGUAGCGGUGAAAUGCGUAGAUAUUAGGAGGAACACCAGUGGCGAAGGCGGCUUACUGGACAGUAACUGACGUUGAGGCUCGAAAGCGUGGGGAGCAAACAGGAUUAGAUACCCCAGUA